rnacentral:rRNA from 1 species
AUUGAACGCUGGCGGAAUGCUUUACACAUGCAAGUCGAACGGCAGCACGGACUUCGGUCUGGUGGCGAGUGGCGAACGGGUGAGUAACAUAUCGGAACAUAUCCAAUAAUGGGGGAUAACGAGUCGAAAGAUUCGCUAAUACCGCAUACGCCCUACGGGGGAAAGCUGGGGACCUUCGGGCCUGGCGUUAAUGGCGCGGUCGAUAUCUGAUUAGCUAGUUGGUGAGGUAAAGGCUCACCAAGGCGACGAUCAGUAGCUGGUCUGAGAGGACGACCAGCCACACUGGAACUGAGACACGGUCCAGACUUCUACGGGAGGCAGCAGUGGGGAAUUUUGGACAAUGGGCGAAAGCCUGAUCCAGCCAUUCCGCGUGCAGGAUGAAGGCCCUCGGGUUGUAAACUGCUUUUGUACAGAACGAAAAGGUUUCUACUAAUACUAGGAGCUCAUGACGGUACUGUAAGAAUAAGCACCGGCUAACUACGUGCCAGCCGCCGCCGUAA